rnacentral:rRNA from 1 species
AUUGAACGCUGGCGGCAGGCCCAACACAUGCAAGUCGAGCGGCAGCGGGGAAGUAGCUUGCUACUUUUGCCGGCGAGCGGCGGACGGGUGAGUAAUGCCUGGGAAAUUGCCCAGUCGAGGGGGAUAACAGUUGGAAACGACUGCUAAUACCGCAUACGCCCUACGGGGGAAAGCAGGGGACCUUCGGGCCUUGCGCGAUUGGAUAUGCCCAGGUGGGAUUAGCUAGUUGGUGAGGUAAUGGCUCACCAAGGCGACGAUCCCUAGCUGGUCUGAGAGGAUGAUCAGCCACACUGGAACUGAGACACGGUCCAGACUCCUACGGGAGGCAGCAGUGGGGAAUAUUGCACAAUGGGGGAAACCCUGAUGCAGCCAUGCCGCGUGUGUGAAGAAGGCCUUCGGGUUGUAAAGCACUUUCAGCGAGGAGGAAAGGUUGAUGCCUAAUACGCAUCAACUGUGACGUUACUCGCAGAAGAAGCACCGGCUAACUCCGUGCCAGCCGCCGCAGUAA